UACGACAACGUUUAGUAUAGGUUAGAACGACGCCGAAAGCUUAUAAAACGGCAACGAAAUUCCACAAUAGAGCGCCGCUGCACCAAAGCCCAAUCCCAAACCCUAAUUUCCUCUCACCCCUUAUAUAUACUCCCUCGCUUCACUCACAAAUUUCAUCUUCUCAUAUCACCCUUGUUCUCAAAUCUCAUUCCUACUGCAUUUUUUCUAUCAUUCUCUUUACUUAUUUACGGUUACUCCAAUUAGUUUAUUUUUCGAAACCCUAGAUUCAAUUUUUUCGAUUCUUCAUGAAAUUCGAUUAUCAAUUGAAUUUGUGCAUCUGUUUACCCUCUUCAGAUCCAAAACGGUAGACUUACCAGCUCAUUGCACAAAAAACUUUAAAAAAUUGCAAUGGGUCAAAUGGAUCUACCGAAAUCCAAAUCAAAAACCCUUUUUUCCGUCAAAUUUGUUUUUUUUUUUUUAUGAGGAAAGUAUAUGGCAAAUGAUGAUUAAUUUUAACGCUUAUUGAUAUACUGAAUAACAAGUGUUGACAAAAACCUCUGACUAACUGAUGCCAUAUACAUUUCCUCAAUCUUUUAAUGUUUUGUUGAUUUUUUUUUUCUUCCUGUUUUUGUGUUUUAACGUUGUUGGUUUGUAUAAGGGUUGGUAAAUGAUGUUAAAAAUUUGUCAUUCUAUAGACUGAUGUUUUGAUGAACAAAAACUCCGCUUAUUAUCUGAUGCCUUC
rnacentral:lncRNA from 1 species